rnacentral:rRNA from 1 species
AUGUCGUCCUCCGUCUCCGCCGCCGUUCUCCGCCGCCUCGGCGACCGGCUCGGCCUCCGCCGACUCGCGACGCUCCCCGACUACGCGGCCGGCGCCGAGGAGCUUCCGCAGCACCCCACCUCCAAGGACGCCUACUUCGCGGCGGUCAACCACCUCUCCACCAUCGUACGGCGCGACUUCUACCUGGAGCGCACCCUGAACCGCCUCCGCCUGCCGUCCCCCUUCCCGCCGGACCUCGCGCUCCGCGUCAUCCGCGCCGCUGCCCCCUCCGAGCCCCUCCACGCCGCCCGCUUCCUAGCGUGGCUCCGGGCGAAGCCCAAUUUCUCCCCCUCCGCCGAUCACUUCGACGCGCUGCUCCUCCCGCUCGCCCGCGCGCGCCUCUUCACCCACCUCUGGACCCAGGCCUCCGACAUGCGCGCGCUCGGCCUCCCCCUCUCUCCGGCAACCUUCUCGGCGGUUAUCUCGUCCUACGGCCACUCCCGCCUCGCCGAGCAGGCCGUCGAGGUCUUCAAUCGCCUUCCCCACUUCGGGUGCCCGCAGACCACCGAGGUCUACAACGCCCUUCUGGACGCGCUCUGCGCCAACGGCAACUUCGCCGGCGCCUACAAGCUGCUACGCCGCAUGGCGCGCAAGGGCGUGGCCCCCGACCGCGCCACGUUCAGCACGCUCGUCGACGCCUGGUGCGCGUCGGGGAAGCUCCGGGAGGCGCAGGCGUUCCUCGACGACAUGUCGUCCCGCGGGUUCCGGCCGCCGGUGCGCGGUCGGGACCUCCUCGUCGACGGGCUCGUCCGAGCUGGGCGCCUGGAGGAAGCCAAGGCAUUCGCCCUCCGCAUCACCAAGGAGGGCGUCCUCCCCGACGUGGCCACAUUCAACUCGCUCGCCCAGGCGCUUUGCGAUGCAGGUGAUGUGGAAUUCGCCGUGGGUCUUCUUGCCGAUGCUUCCAGUCGUGGCAUGUGCCCAGAUAUCUCAACUUACAAAGUGAUGCUACCGGCGGUGGCCAAGGCUGGCCGAAUUGAGGAGGCAUUCAGAUUGUUCUAUGCAGCUAUUGAGGAUGGCCACCGGCCCUUCCCAAGUCUAUAUGCGGCGAUCGUCAAGGCGCUCUGCAAGGCAGGUCGUUUCGCUGAUGCUUUCGCCUUUUUUGGUGAUAUGAAGUCCAAGGGGCACCCACCUAAUCGGCCUGUGUAUGUGAUGCUUGUCAAAAUGUGUGUGAGGGGUGGUCGGUUCUUGGAUGCUGCAAACUACCUUCUUGAGAUGAAUGAGGCUGGGUUCGCGCCACGGGCGCCAACCUUUAACGUUGUAGUUGAUGGGCUGCGGCAUCUUGGGAAACAUGACCUAGCCCGGAGGAUGGAGCAGCUUGAGAUGUCACUAAAAGGAAACUGA